AGCUCUAAUAGCGUAUAUUAAUGUUGUUGCAGUUAAAAAGCUCGUAGUUGGAUUUUGGUGUUUGACAAACGGUCGGCCUUACGGUUGGUACUGUUUGUUGGCACUUAUUUUCUGGGGAACUCACUGAUCUUAAUUGAUGGGUGUUGUAACGCAGAUCGUUUACUUUGAAAAAUUAGAGUGUUCAAAGCAGGCCAUCGCAUUGAAUACAUUAGCAUGGAAUAAUGGAAUAGGACUUUGGUCUUAUUUUGUUGGUUUCUAAGGCCGAGGUAAUGAUUAAUAGGGAUAGUUGGGGGCGUUUAUAUUCCGUUGUCAGAGGUGAAAUUCUUGGAUUUACGGAAGAUAAACUACUGCGAAAGCAUUCGCCAAGGAUGUUUUCA
rnacentral:rRNA from 1 species